rnacentral:rRNA from 1 species
UACGGGGAGGCAGCAGUGGGGAAUAUUGCACAAUGGGCGAAAGCCUGAUGCAGCUAUGCCGCGUGUAUGAAGAAGGCCUUAGGGUUGUAAAGUACUUUCAUCGGGGAGGAAAAACAAAACUAAUAAUUUUAUUUCUUGACGUUACCCGAAAAAGAAGCACCGGCUAACUCCGUGCCAGCAGCCGCGGUAAUACGGAGGGUGCUAGCGUUAAUCAGAAUUACUGGGCGUAAAGAGCACGUAGGUGGUUUUUUUAAGUCAGAUGUGAAAUCCCUGGGCUUAACCUAGGAACUGCAUUUUUGAAACUGAAAUACUAGAGUAUCGUAGAGGGAGGUAGAAUUCUAGGUGUAGCGGUGAAAUGCGUAGAUAUCUGGAGGAAUACCUGUGGCGAAAGCGGCCUCCUAAACGAAUACUGACACUGAGGUGCGAAAAGCGUGGGGAGCAAACAGGGAUUAGAUACC